rnacentral:rRNA from 1 species
GAUGAACGCUAGCGGGAGGCCUAACACAUGCAAGCCGAGCGGUAGAGUCUCUUCGGAGACUUGAGAGCGGCGCACGGGUGCGGAACACGUGUGCAACCUGCCUUUAUCUGGGGGAUAGCCUUUCGAAAGGAAGAUUAAUACCCCAUAAUAUACUGGAUGGCAUCAUCUGGUAUUGAAAACUCCGGUGGAUAGAGAUGGGCACGCGCAAGAUUAGAUAGUUGGUGAGGUAACGGCUCACCAAGUCAGCGAUCUUUAGGGGGCCUGAGAGGGUGAUCCCCCACACUGGUACUGAGACACGGACCAGACUCCUACGGGAGGCAGCAGUGAGGAAUAUUGGACAAUGGGUGAGAGCCUGAUCCAGCCAUCCCGCGUGAAGGACGACGGCCCUAUGGGUUGUAAACUUCUUUUGUAUAGGGAUAAACCUAGAUACGUGUAUCUAGCUGAAGGUACUAUACGAAUAAGCACCGGCUAACUCCGUGCCAGCAGCCGCGGUAAUACGGAGGGUGCAAGCGUUAUCCGGAUUUAUUGGGUUUAAAGGGUCCGUAGGCUGAUUUGUAAGUCAGUGGUGAAAUCUCACAGCUUAACUGUGAAACUGCCAUUGAUACUGCAAGUCUUGAGUGUUGUUGAAGUAGCUGGAAUAAGUAGUGUAGCGGUGAAAUGCAUAGAUAUUACUUAGAACACCAAUUGCGAAGGCAGGUUACUAAGCAACAACUGACGCUGAUGGACGAAAGCGUGGGGAGCGAACAGGAUUAGAUACCCUGGUAGUCCACGCCGUAAACGAUGCUAACUCGUUUUUGGGUUUUCGGAUUCAGAGACUAAGCGAAAGUGAUAAGUUAGCCACCUGGGGAGUACGAACGCAAGUUUGAAACUCAAAGGAAUUGACGGGGGCCCGCACAAGCGGUGGAUUAUGUGGUUUAAUUCGAUGAUACGCGAGGAACCUUACCAAGGCUUAAAUGGGAAAUGACAGGUUUAGAAAUAGACUUUUCUUCGGACAUUUUUCAAGGUGCUGCAUGGUUGUCGUCAGCUCGUGCCGUGAGGUGUUAGGUUAAGUCCUGCAACGAGCGCAACCCCUGUCACUAGUUGCCAUCAUUAAGUUGGGGACUCUAGUGAGACUGCCUACGCAAGUAGAGAGGAAGGUGGGGAUGACGUCAAAUCAUCACGGCCCUUACGCCUUGGGCCACACACGUAAUACAAUGGCCGGUACAGAGGGCAGCUACACAGUGAUGUGAUGCAAAUCUCGAAAGCCGGUCUCAGUUCGGAUUGGAGUCUGCAACUCGACUCUAUGAAGCUGGAAUCGCUAGUAACCGCGCAUCAGCCAUGGCGCGGUGAAUACGUUCCCGGGCCU